rnacentral:lncRNA from 1 species
UCGUGUCCCAUAUGUAAGUCCAUCCACUCUUACCCAAAAAAAAUCUUCUCAUUUCGAUUCUCUCAUGUCAACCCCAUAUUGUAACAAAAGAAUGAGAAAAAGAAAGACAAGAGUUGAUAACGAGAGAAAAUGAGCAAAAAAUAAAAGAAAUUAAGAGAAGAAAAAAAGAAAUGUGAGAAAAAGAGGAUGUGAGAAAAGAAGUUGAAAUAAUCAAAAAAUAAAAAGAGUGCGAGGGAGAAGAAAAAGCAAUUUAAAUUAAAGAAAUAAAAGAAAGUGUGAGUGAUUCCAAUGACAUUGUUGAAAAAUAAAGUGAAAAAGUGAGGAAUUUUUUACUAACCAACUUGUUAGCUGUCCUCAUUUUUUAUCUUCAUUUCAGGUUCCUAAAGGUCCAUUUCAUGAGUUCCAACUUCAUUACCUU